UACAGAGGGUGCGAGCGUUGUUCGGAAUUAUUGGGCGUAAAGCGCAUGUAGGCGGGAUGUUAAGUCGCGUGUGAAAAGCCCCAGGCUCAACCUGGGAAGUGCGCGCGAAAACUGGCAACCUUGAGUGCUGGAGAGGGUGGCGGAAUUCCCGGUGUAGAGGUGAAAUUCGUAGAUAUCGGGAGGAACACCAGAGGCGAAGGCGGCCACCUGGACAGACACUGACGCUGAGACGCGAAAGCGUGGGGAGCAAACAGG
rnacentral:rRNA from 1 species